rnacentral:snRNA from 1 species
AGCUUUGCACAGUGGCAAUAUUGUAGCCAAUGAGGUUUAUCUGAUGUGUGAUUGCUGCUAAUUGAAAACUUCUCCCAAUACCCCGCCAUGACGACUUAUAAUAUUUACAGGGUGGAUAUAUGGUUUUUGAAUCACAAA